rnacentral:rRNA from 1 species
UACGUAGGGGGCAAGCGUUGUCCGGAAUCAUUGGGCGUAAAGCGCGUGUAGGCGGCUCGGUAAGUCCGCUCUGAAAGUCCAGGGCUCAACCCUGGGAUGCGGGUGGAUACUGCCGAGCUCGAGUCCGGAAGAGGCGAGUGGAAUUCCUGGUGUAGCGGUGAAAUGCGCAGAUAUCAGGAGGAACACCAAUUGCGAAGGCAGCUCGCUGGGACGUUACUGACGCUGAGACGCGAAAGCGUGGGGAGCAAACAGG